AUUGAACGCUGGCGGCAUGCCUUACACAUGCAAGUCGAACGGUAACAGGUUAAGCUGACGAGUGGCGAACGGGUGAGUAAUGUAUCGGAACGUGCCCAGUCGUGGGGGAUAACUACUCGAAAGAGUGGCUAAUACCGCAUACGACCUGAGGGUGAAAGCGGGGGACCGUAAGGCCUCGCGCGAUUGGAGCGGCCGAUAUCAGAUUAGCUAGUUGGUGGGGUAAAAGCCCACCAAGGCGACGAUUUGUAGCUGGUCUGAGAGGACGACCAGCCACACUGGGACUGAGACACGGCCCAGAAUCCUACGGGAGGCAGCAGUGGGGAAUUUUGGACAAUGGACGCAAGUCUGAUCCAGCCAUGCCGCGUGCGGGAAGAAGGCCUUCGGGUUGUAAACCGCUUUUGUCAGGGAAGAAACGAGUUUCUCUAAUACAGAGACUUAAUGACGGUACCUGAAGAAUAAGCACCGGCUAACUACGUGCCAGCAGCCGCCGUAAUAC
rnacentral:rRNA from 1 species